rnacentral:lncRNA from 1 species
GUUGAAACUAAAUUGGAAAUCAAAUUCGUGUAUGUCCAUCUUUUGUGUUCUUCUACUACAAUGUGCUGAUGAAUGACUCAAGUUUGUUAGUAUUUAGAAAGCUCAGGAUUUUUGAAACCACAAAUCCAAUCCUUAUUUAUAAGAUUAUCAUCCUAUAAAUAUAACUGUGUACACAAUAUCUACAUUGUCUCUAUUUUUCUGAAAGUAUUUUGUAUGGCCAAACCUUUCAGAAAUAUUCGAUAUACAUCUGGACUCCCGAAUCCUUCGUCGUCAGUAUUAUUUGAUUAUUUAAAUUAGAAUCUUGAAUUUAAGGAUAUUUAAUCAUUCUUUCCUUUUCAUCCGGAGACGUUUUCUUAUUUGUAAAACCUAUUUCUAAUUAAUGAAUAAAGCAUUUAUUUUGUAUACUUUCUA